CGGCAGCUCCGGGGAACGUGUCGGAGCAGAUUUCUUCCCCGGCGCAUUCCUCAGCGCAGCUCGCCCGGCCGGCUCCAUCGGCAGCCCAGGAGAGCCGGCGCGCCGGGGCCAGACGGCGGGGGUGGCUGGGGCGCGGAGCCCCGGGGCAGGCGGGGCUGGGACGGGUCCCUGGCGGCGGCGGCGGCGGCGCUCGGGCCCCUUCCUUACCUGGAAAGGGAGACUUCCAGAGGUGGGCGGACUGAGACUGCUCCUUGGAGCAGUACACCUGACUGUCCCAGCCGUUGGAGAGUGCCCAGUGCUGGUAGCCUUCGACGGGGAUGAGCGCGUCGUGACGCGGCUCCGGGUGCCCGCUGAUCCCAGGCACCACAGACACGUCCAGGUAGCCGGGCAUCGCCUGGUAGGAGCUGGCGAAGCUGGGAUAGAAGGCGAACUCCUUGGCCCUGGAGGACAGGUCGUCACCCGGCAGGGCGCCCGACGGCUCGGGGUACUUAUCGCCCGGGUGUCUCCAGACUUGUCGGGCUUCCUGUGCUCAGUUUGGUGCCUAAGUAGAGGCACCCCUUUCCAGAGAGCAUCUCCGUGGGAUUGAGCCAAGUUCCCUUUCAGCACAGGGCCUCCCUGAGGAGAAGAGGGGCUUUAUGCGGCCAAAAUUUAGCGACGAGCGGAAAGAGAGGGAAAAGUUCCCUUCGUCAAGGAGACCAGCCGAAGAAGAUGUAGGCCCCCCAGAGACCUGAGAGAGUGGGAGGCGAAAGUUCAGGACUCAGGGCGUUGAAAGCGCCAGAGAAGGGUCCGCAUGCUCUGAACGAUUUCCCACUCUUUCGCUGGGUUCCCCAAGACCUUCCGCGCCUGAAACUGCCGACUCCAAGACUGGGGCGCACCCGGAGCAGGGAGGGAGGCGACGAGGCGAGAGCCUGCGGCCGGGCGCCUCAAAGUAGAGCCUUGUUGGUUAAUUAACUUUAAGCCUGCGGUCGCUUCUUCCUCCUCCCCCCGAAAAAAAAGAUGUGGAUCUCGCUGAGACACAAAUAAAACCAAAUUAAACACUCCAGGAGAAUAUGCCCUACUGGAAACAUAGUAAUUACAUCGCCGAAGCGAUGAGGCGAUCCCGCCCUAGAAAGCCAGGCGCUGAAACCCUCGGCUUCGGCGCUCACCCCCCGCCGCUGAGCCACACCUCGCCCCGCCGGGGGCUUCGCGGGUGGGCCGAUGGAGCUGGACUGCGGACCUGGUUGAGAGGAAAUCAGGAGGAAUGAAUAGGAAUGUGACCCUUCGGUCUCUAGCUGUGAUGAUGUUGGUGUGUGCGGGAAAGGACGGAGCAUUUCAUCACACCAAAGGAAAAUGGAAAACGGCCCCUCUAGCCCCGUCGAGAAGCCCCGGGCUGCGCUCUCCGCUCUUUUUUCAAAGGGACAUUUGUGAUGGCGAGGCCACGGGAGCCGCUCUGCCCUCAGCUUCCUCUAUGGACUGAGUUCCUCGCUAAGUUCAACUCUGAAAUUCUUGUUUUCAAAGACUCCAAUAUAUAAAGGAGAUAUUCAAUGUGCCGUCUCACUGGAAGUGUGUGUGUGUGUGUGUGUGUGUGUGUGUUUGCACGGUAUACGUGUGCACACGCCCGGCCUGUGGGUCUGUGAUUGUGGGCAGGCUCCAUGCACUGUUCCAGCACAUGCCCUUGUGGAUACGGCCCAAGUGUAUUCAUGAAAAUACCCAGCCCUUGCCGAAAUCCUCUCUAUGCAAAUAAA